CACAACUAUAAGAACGUAUACAGAUGCAUCAGUGAGCGCUCGUCUCUCAGAACAUACAGUUGACGUAAUUGUUUGUCGUCGACCCUCAACCAACAACAAUACCAGUUGACGCAACCUGUACAUAACAUACGGAAGAAGAAGAACCUGCACAUACCAUACAGAAGAAUUAGAACUGCAAUACCAUAAAGAAGAAGAACUGCACAUACCAUAAAGAAGAAGAACUGCACAUACCAUAAAGAAGAAGAACUGCACAUACCAUAAAGAAGAAGAACUGCAAUACCAUAAAGAAGAAGACCUGCAAUACCAUAAAGAAGAACUGCACAUACCAUAAAGAAGAAGAAACUGCACAUACCACAAAGAAGAAGAAACUGCACAUACCAUAAAGAAGAAGAAACUGCACAUACCAUAAAGAAGAAGAAACUGCACAUACCAUAAAGAACAUACAGUUCUUGUCUUAGUAUCGCAAGUUUCCACUGAGCACUGAUUUCUCUGCAUUGUAGGAAAUACUGGCAGCUGUACUGAGCAAUGUUCUUACGGGCUGUGUAUGCGCAGCCUGGAGGCCUGUGUAGGCCUACACUACUCGCCAGGACCUUACCACUGGUGUCAUUCGUCUACAAAAGUACUGUUGCUUAGCAGCUGGGUAUUCCAGAACCUCCAAAAAGGCCCAUAACACCAUACCUGAACUUCAUGAUGCAGAGUCAAGCAGAAAUUCAAAACAAGUAUCCUGAAUUGUCUUAUCGUGGACAUGGGUGUUGUACAGCUCCACACUCGGGUUCCCUUGUCGGAUGUGUUGGUGGUAGAUGAUUUUUUCACCCA